GUCUUCGGCCAUGCUACCCCAAACAAGCCUGGUCCUGUUUGAUCUUGGAAGCUAAGCAGGGUCGGGCAUGGUUAGUACUUGGAUGGGAGACCACCUAGGAAGACCAGGUGCUAUAGGCG
rnacentral:rRNA from 1 species